rnacentral:rRNA from 1 species
CCUAUGCUGCCGAGAAAAGCCUCUAGCGAGCUGGUACAUGGCCCGUACCCCAAACCGACACAGGUGGUCAGGUAGAGAAUACUAAGGCGAUCGAGAGAACUGUGGUUAAGGAACUCGGCAAAAUGCCCCCGUAACUUCGGGAGAAGGGGGACCAGUCCUGGUGACGACAUUUACUGUCUGAGCUGGGGUUGGUCGCAGAGACCAGAGAGAAGCGACUGUUUACUAAAAACACAGGUCCGUGCGAAGUCGUAAGACGAUGUAUACGGACUGACGCCUCCCGGUGCUGGAAGGUUAAGAGGACCGGUCAGCCACUUCGGUGGCGAAGCUGAGAAUUUAAGCCCCAGUAAACGGCGGUGGUAACUAUAACCAUCCUAAGGUAGCGAAAUUCCUUGUCGGGUAAGUUCCGACCUGCACGAAUGGCGUAACGACUUCUCUGCUGUCUCAACCACAGACUCGGCGAAAUUGCAGUACGAGUAAAGAUGCUCGUUACGCGCGGCAGGACGAAAAGACCCCGGGACCUUCACUAUAGCUUGGUAUUGGUGUUCGGUUCGGUUUGUGUAGGAUAGGUGGGAGACUGUGAAACUCGCACGCCAGUGUGGGUGGAAUCAUUGUUGAAAUACCACUCUGACCGUAUUGGACAUCUAACCUCGGACCAUGAUCUGGUUCAGGGACAGUGCCUGGUGGGUAGUUUAACUGGCGGUUGCCUCCUAAAAAGUAACGGAGGCGCCCAAAGGUUCCCUCAGCCUGGUUGGCAAUCAGGUGUUGAGUGUAAGUGCACAAGGGAGCUUGACUGUGAGACGUACAUGUCGAGCAGGGACGAAAGUCGGGACUAGUGAUCCGGCACCGGCAAGUGGAAGCGGUGUCGCUCAACGGAUAAAAGGUACCCCGGGGAUAACAGGCUGAUCUUCCCCAAGAGUCCAUAUCGACGGGAUGGUUUGGCACCUCGAUGUCGGCUCGUCGCAUCCUGGGGCUGGAGUAGGUCCCAAGGGUUGGGCUGUUCGCCCAUUAAAGCGGCACGCGAGCUGGGUUUAGAACGUCGUGAGACAGUUCGGUCUCUAUCCGCCGCGCGCGUAAGAAACUUGAGGAAACCUGUCCCUAGUACGAGAGGACCGGGACGGACGAACCUCUGGUGUGCCAGUUGUUCCACCAGGAGCACCGCUGGUUAGCUACGUUCGGAAGGGAUAACCGCUGAAAGCAUCUAAGCGGGAAGCCUGUUCCAAGAUGAGGUUUCUCACCACCUAGCGUGGUUAAGGCCCCCCACAGACCAUGGGGUUGAUAGGCCAGAACUGUAAGCACAGCAAUGUGUUCAGGUGACUGGUACUAAUCGGCCGAGGACUUCC